rnacentral:lncRNA from 1 species
CAGAUGAAAAUACUGAGGUAGAGAAAAGUUAAGUAAGUUCCCCAAAGAGAAAUACACAGCUAAGAAGUGUUAGUUUAACUUGACCAUGUGGCAGAAGGCCAGAUAUGCAAAGAAAAACAUGGGGGAAUGGAUCAAGAAUGCAAUAAUACAAGAGGACAUCACCAAGGGAAUGAGCCUAGACCAAGAAAGGUACUACAAACUGGGUCUGAAGCACUGUGAACAGGGUAGAAGAAGAAGAGCAAAACAUAAAACCUGUUUCAGAGAAUGAGUGACAAGUUUUGUUGGGUCAAAUACAGCGACUGCUUAUGUA